UCCCGCAAAGUAAUACUUUACCUGUAGUUUAACGAUUGUGAGAAGAAAACUGCUUUCAAAAAGUGCCUGCUCCUUGCAGAACUGGUAGUAAGUACGGAAACGUUUAUAAGAGAAAGUUGAACUCACCCACAGUCCCGGCUGCCAGAAAGAAUUACUACGCUGCUGUGUAAACCUGGGAGACCUCACACACGCACAUGGUUUUCUGGGGUUUUGUUUUGUUUUGUUUUUUGUUUUUAAAGACCAGUGUCUCCUGUCUUUCCAGAGAGCAGCAGGCGGGGUGAGAGGAGGAGAGGGAGAGAGAAAAUACCAAGCAGGCUCCGCGCCCAGCACCAAGUCCCAUGUGGGGCUUGAUCCCACUACCCUGAGAUUAUGACCUGAGUGGAAGUCAAGAACUGCCACCCAACUGAUGGAGCUACCCAUUGCCCCUGUGCCGGGUGUUAUAUUGGAAGAAAUACCGAUAAGGUCAUUUGGGGUGAAGAAAAUAUACUUGGGUCAUUAGUUCUCCUACUUCAGUGGCUAAUCCAUAAACCUGAGACUGUUUCAGAGGUGGAAACCUCGGAGUACUGCUUUGUAUGGUCCACCCUGCGGACCCUCUCACCCCGCACCAGUGCUCCUGGGCCCUCACGGCUGGGAGGCCGGCCUGGAGGCGGAGGCCGUGACCCAGGGCCGGCCCCCUCACGUUCUCGGUUCCAAGGCUGCAGCACGAUCAUCGGGAAAGUGAAAAUGAAAACAGAAGCUACCCCGCUUGCCCAUCCUGACGACCCGCCCCGUCACUUCGGCUGUGUGAGAGGACGGGCAGCGCCGCCAAGGCCUCCCCCCUGCGGGGCAGGGUCUCCUUCCUGCGCGGGGGCCUGUGCGGCGGCCCGAUCGCCCACUCGGGGCGGUCCCACGACCCCCUGCCCCGCCGAGGCUGGUUCGCGGCCCAGUUCGGGUCCUCCCUGGGAGCCCAGCGCGGGGCGGGGCUUCGGCGGAGGCUCUCCCGCUUCUGCCUCCGCCCUGCUCCUCCUCCUCCUCCUCCUCCUCCUCCUCCUCCUCCUCCUCCUCCUCCUCCGCGCUGCGGGGAGUCGUCGGAUCCCGAUCCUGAUCCUGAUCCCGAUCCCGAUCCCGAUCCCGAUCCCGAUCCCGAAGGCCUGGCGGAGUCUGGGACCGGGAGAAGCCAGAGGCUUUUCUCCUUAGGGCCCCAUCGAGGCCUGGUCGUCCGGCGGCCGCGGGCUGAGUCUCUGUCCCUCGGCGCAUCUCUGCGUUGAGAACCUGUAGGGGAGGGUGGAUCCUGAAGAACCUUGUGGACACUUCUACCUCCUGAAGCGCCAGCCCCGCCCAAGGGGAAGUGAUAAGAAGGGGAAUAGGUAAAUAGGCUGGUGAAAGGAGAAGAAAGCCCCUGAACUGCCAAGUGCCUGGCUGGAGAAAAAUCAGGGAGCAAGGACAGGACAGGACUAAAAAUGUUUGAGCUUAACAGGAUGCCUGUUAAUUGCAGUUGACACCAGCCCUAAUACUUACAGACCAAGUUCAGAUCGGAUUAUUUAGAACAAUGCAGGGAGAAGAAUCAAGGCUUUGAGAAGUUAAGGUAACUUGCCCAAGGUCACAUGGCUAGUAAAUGACCAGUUUUGGAUUGAACUCAAGUCACUCAUUUCUCCAAAUUAAAAACCAUGCAGAGGAGCACCUGGAGGACUCAGUCAGUUGAGUAUUUGCCUUCCCCUCAGGUCAUAAUCCUUGGGGUCCUGGGAUUGAGUCCCAUAUGAGGCUCCCUGCUUAGCGAGGAGUCUGCUUCUCCCUCUCCUUCUGACCCUCCUCCCUGCUUGUGCUCUCACUCUCUCUCUCUCAAAUGAAUAAAUAAAAAAAUCUUUAAAAAAUGCAGAAUGUGGAUGUAUCAUUUAUCUAAGAACCUGACAGUAUACAGUUUAAGUGGAUAUAUUUUAUGUAGAUUAUACCCCGGUAAAGUUAAUUUUUAAAAAUCAUGCAGGGGGCACCUGGGUGGCUCAGUUGGUUAAGCAGCUGCCUUCCCCUCAGGUCAUGAUC